rnacentral:rRNA from 1 species
GACGAACGCUGGCGGCGUGCUUAACACAUGCAAGUCGAACGGAAAGGCCCUGCUUUUGUGGGGUGCUCGAGUGGCGAACGGGUGAGUAACACGUGAGUAACCUGCCCUUGUCUUUGGGAUAACUUCAGGAAACUGGGGUUAAUAUCGGAUAGGAGCUCCUGCUGCAUGGUGGGGGUUGGAAAGUUUCGGCGGUUGGGGAUGGACUCGCGGCUUAUCAGCUUGUUGGUGGGGUAGUGGCUUACCAAGGCUUUGACGGGUAGCCGGCCUGAGAGGGUGACCGGCCACAUUGGGACUGAGAUACGGCCCAGACUCCUACGGGAGGCAGCAGUGGGGAAUAUUGCACAAUGGGCGGAAGCCGGAUGCAGCAACGCCGCGUGCGGGAUGACGGCCUUCGGGUUGUAAACCGCUUUCGCCUGUGACGAAGCGUGAGUGACGGUAAUGGGUAAAGAAGCACCGGCUAACUACGUG